rnacentral:tRNA from 1 species
GCGGUUGUGCUGGAAUUGGCAGACAGUCACGGUUGAGGGCCGUGUGGAGUUUCUCCGUGUGGGUUCGAGUCCCAUCAACCGCA